rnacentral:ncRNA from 1 species
GUUAUCAAGAAAGGCAGAGGGACUAGACCCAAUGAAGCCUUAGCAACCCUUUCACUUGGAAGAAGGUGCUACAUUCUACCCCAAAUUUGGAGACAAAACAGCGGGAUAGAUAA